rnacentral:tRNA from 1 species
GCCCUUGUAGCUCAAUGGUGAGAGCGAUGCCCUGAUUUGGCAUAGUGGACGCCGGUUCGAUUCCGGCCGAGGGCU